rnacentral:rRNA from 1 species
GAUGAACGCUAGCGAUAGGCUUAACACAUGCAAGUCGAGGGGCAGCAUGGUCUUAGCUUGCUAAGACUGAUGGCGACCGGCGCACGGGUGCGUAACGCGUAUGCAACUUGCCUCACAGAGGGGGAUAACCCGUCGCAAGACGGACUAAUACCGCGUACACUUGGAGGGAGGCAUCUCCCAUCAAGGAAAAGAAAUUCGCUGUGAGAUAGGCAUGCGUCCCAUUAGCUAGUUGGUGAGGUAACGGCUCACCAAGGCAACGAUGGGUAGGGGAACUGAGAGGUUGAACCCCCACACUGGUACUGAGACACGGACCAGACUCCUACGGGAGGCAGCAGUGAGGAAUAUUGGUCAAUGGGCGAGAGCCUGAACCAGCCAAGUCGCGUGAAGGAUGACUGUCUUAUGGAUUGUAAACUUCUUUUGUAGGGGAAUAAAGAACGGUACGUGUACCGUAGUAAAUGUACCCUACGAAUAAGCAUCGGCUAACUCCGUGCCAGCCGCCGCGGUAA